rnacentral:rRNA from 1 species
UACGAAGGGGGCUAGCGUUGCUCGGAAUUACUGGGCGUAAAGCGCACGUAGGCGGCUCUUUAAGUCGGGGGUGAAAUCCUGGAGCUUAACUCCAGAACUGCCUUCGAUACUGGAGAGCUCGAGUCCGGGAGAGGUGAGUGGAACUGCGAGUGUAGAGGUGAAAUUCGUAGAUAUUCGCAAGAACACCAGUGGCGAAGGCGGACUCACUGGCCCCGGUACUGACGCUGAGGUGGCGAAAGCGUGG